rnacentral:tRNA from 1 species
GCCCGGGUGGCUCAGUCGGUUAAGCGUCUGACUUCGGCUCAGGUCAUGAUCUCACGGUUUGUGAGUUCGAGCCCCGCAUCGGGCU